rnacentral:rRNA from 1 species
GGGAUCGAAGAUGAUUAGAUACCAUCGUAGUCUUAACUGUAAACGAUGCCGACUCGCGAUCGUUUCCCGGCUCUUGAAGCGGGAGGCGGCAGCGCAUGAGAAAUCAAAGUUUUUGGGCUCCGGGGGGAGUAUGGUCGCAAGGCUGAAACUUAAAGCAAUUGACGGAAGGGCACCACCAGGAGUGGAGCCUGCGGCUUAAUUUGACUCAACACGGGGAAACUUACCAGGUCCAGACAUAGGAAGGAUGACAGAUUGAGAGCUCUUUCUUGAUUCUAUGGGUGGUGGUGCAUGGCCGUUCUUAGUUGGUGGAGUGAUUUGUCUGGUUGAUUCCGUUAACGAACGAGACCACAGCCUACUAAAUAGUGCGCGUUGUGGCGACACAGCGGUUUGGGUACUUCUUAGAGGGACACUUUGGGUUUACCGGAAGGAAGUUCGAG